UUCUCCUCUUGUGUUUUGUGGACAGUGGCUAUGGUGGUGCCCCAGGGUUACUGGUAACUUCAAAACAUGGUUAACUUGCCUACUGGGUACCCUAAUAGCACAUGGGGAAGUAUCAACGUCAUCGUCAUCAUCAUCAUCAUCUUUCUACAGAGGAAACUGAGGCCCAGAGAGGGUGAACUUCCUGCCCAAGGUCAAGUGAAGGUCAUCCUUAUUGAGGGCUUUUCCCAUCAUGUCAGACAAUAGUAGGCAAAUUGAGACAGGAUUGGAGGAGGAGGAGAAGGAGGAGAUGGGGGUGGAAGGGGAGGAGAAAAAGGAGGAGAGGAAGAAGAAAGGGAAGAGAAGGAGAGGGAAGAGGAGAGGGAAGAGGAGAGGGAAGAGGAGAGGGAAGAGGAGAGGGAAGAGGAGAGGGAAGAGGAGAGGGAAGAGGAGAGGGAAGAGGAGAGGGAAGAGGAGAGGGAAGAGAGGGAGGACGGUAGAGGAGAAGAGGGGAGAAGGGAAGAAGUGGGAGGGAAGAUGACAGGGAGCAGAAAGGAAGAAGAAGGUGGAGCAGGAGAGAGGAAGAGGAGGAGGAGGGGGAAGGAGGAAAAGGAAGGGGUGCAGGAAGAGGAGGGGGUGCGUGGGCAGAAGGUGGGAGAGAUGCAGGAGGAGGGAGGGUGCAGGGAGGGGUGCAAGAGGAGGGGGGCCGGAGGAGGAGGCUGGGGCAGGGGGAGAGGGGAGGAAGCCUUAUAAGCUUCUACACCAGGAAUGGAAUCCAGGGUGAUGAAGGCAGAACAAGGGUAAAACCUUUCAUGUGCCUCUCUGACACCAACCCGGUUCUCCCACAGCCUCAGACUUGCCCUAACCCUGGGGUCACAGUGGACCUCUUCCAGCCUCUUGAAUGCUAAGUCAGGAGGGGGAAGGGUGGGAGAGGGGAGGAGGAGGGGGAGAAGGAGGGGUGGGGGACUCCAUUCAAAUCCCGUCUUCCUCCUGUCGCAUACCUGCCAGAGAUAGACGAAGCAGACCACGAUCCAGACGAGAGGCAGCCACAGCCCGUUGAGGUAGAGGACGCUCUCGGUCAGCCGCUGCACGUCCACGGACACCAGGUUGACCACAUCACCCACCGCACUGGCCUUUCUGGAGCCACUGGACAGAGCCAGGACCUGGCGGGUGGGCAGAAGGAGAGAAGUAAAGUGGGGAGGCCGGGGCAGAGGGAUGCCCCAGGUGGCUUCUCCACCCAGUGAGCCCCACUUCACGCGUCUGCGAGGUGGCCCUCCCUUUGUGACUGCGUGAGGGAGUGAAGAAGUGAUCCA
rnacentral:lncRNA from 1 species